rnacentral:rRNA from 1 species
UACAGAGGGGGCAAGCGUUGUUCGGAAUUACUGGGCGUAAAGGGCGCGUAGGCGGCCUGCUAAGUCGCACGUGAAAUCCCUGGGCUCAACCCAGGAACUGCGUCCGAUACUGGUUGGCUUGAAUCCGGGAGAGGGAUGUGGAAUUCCAGGUGUAGCGGUGAAAUGCGUAGAUAUCUGGAGGAACACCGGUGGCGAAGGCGACAUCCUGGACCGGUAUUGACGCUGAGGCGCGAAAGCCAGGGGAGCAAACGGG